rnacentral:tRNA from 1 species
GGCCUUGUGGCUCAGAGGUAGAGCAUCUGCUCAGCAUCGCGGAAGGUGCCAGGUUCAAUCCCGACAUUUCCAGCUGAAGGUAUCA